rnacentral:lncRNA from 1 species
GGGAUACAGUUAAGAUGUGGUGGCAAGAGAACUGAAUGUCUCAGAAAAUGUUAUAAAAAUUAAAUUUCAACCAGGGAGCUGUUGUCAGAAAUUUGGUAUUUUAUUUUACCACCAAUCCUAAAAAAAUUGGUUUGCCACUUAUAUUUCCUAAAAAAAAAAAAAAAUAAAUAGAUAGAUAAGCAAACAGCAACAACAACCAACUGGAUACUUACAUUUUUAAUUACUUCCUUGUUUCAGUACCUCAAUCAUACCUCAGUACAUUUUAAGAGAUUGAAGUACUUAGAAGCUAUAAAACCAUUAUUAUUAUUAUUAUUAUUAUUUUAUUAUUAUUGCUCUUAUGAAUGCUAUGUCUGUCAUGAAAAAGCUAAGUUCAGUGUAUGUGCUAUUAGUUGGAGUUUUCUGUGAUUUUGCCACUGUAGCUCCCACAUGUGUGGAGUACUAGAUCUCAUGGCUUGGUUAUUUUAUACCUCAGGGUUCUUAACCAGGGCACAGGCAACAAGUUUCCAACCACCAGCUGUGAUGCAUUGGUUGUGAUGGUGCUAGAUGUGUAGCUCCUACACAGUCUGGUGGUCAUGGAUGUCAUGUGUUGUGGUUUCCUCCUUUGUCCACGCCAGGAAAGCCUGCUCUCCUGCCAUGUGACUCCUCUGUUAUGUAACUCUAAACCACAACUGUGAGGAUGAGCAAACACUGACAAGGCUCUAUGGUUUGCAGACAGAUUCAACUAUGUCCUUCAAGGGAGUCUUCAUUUAGAAAGAUGUAGCAACCUUAGAAAGAAAUGUUUUUGUCCUACAACGCAUCAUCUUCUAGACUAUUUGAUCUUCAUGAUAAUCUACAGAACAUCUGCUAUGCCCAUUUCAUUGUGUACGUGCCAGCUUCAUCCUGCUCCAGGUGAUAAGAAGUCUGUCAAAGCAGUCUGCUUUAUGAGAAUGACUUUUAGGUUGACCAACAACUGAACAGAAGCCACUGUGUUUUUAGCACCUGUGCUAACAUAUACAUUUGCAAAAAACAAGGAGGAAGUCCACUGCCCCUUACUGGCUUUGUAAAGCCUCAGAAGAUAGUUCAGAUUUCAAAGAGCAUCUAAAAGCUUAUAGGCAGAGAGAGUUAAGAGCCACAAUGCCAGAUAUCUUGCAGUUUGUUGGGUAAAAAAAAAAAAAAAAAAAAAAAAGCACACAAAUUAGCUCCUUUUACUUAUGGUAUGAUAUUUUGUUACAGAAAAUAAUAUACAUUCCCACACACUAACCAACAGGGACUAAACAACCUACUUCCACUAACUCCAAUGUACUCUGAGCACCCUGGGAGAGCGUAGCUGGCUUUCUCCAGUAAUCCGCCCUGCUAGCAGGUGCUGUAAAUCUAGAGGCAGAUGUUAAUUGAUUCAUACUGACGGCUCUGGCAGGUUCAGCUCAUUAGCCUACCCUGACUGGAACUGCAGUCGAGUGUCUGUCUCCCUGUGCAGAGGAAUGGCGGGGGAGGGUUAAGUAGCCCUGGUGUGUUAAUAAGACUCUGUCCUCAAAGGCAGAGUCUUUGAAGCACCUGCUGCCUUACAGCUUUGGCCUGUAGUGUGACUGGGAAAAGACUGAAAUAUGAGCAAUAUACAGGUAUGGGGGAUGUUAAGCCCUAGGUGACUUUGUCAUUAUCAUUCUACGUGCAAGAAACUAGAUUUUUAGCUUUGCUUGCUAAUCCUAGUUUUAGUUUAGCUUUUAGAGUGAAAACAUUCUGAUUUGGAGUUAUACUUUAUUAUUAAAUGUAGUUAUUAAUAGUGACUCUAUCCUUUAAGGAGCUCUUGUAACAAAGAGGGUUUAAGAGUAUGUGUUUAUCUCUGGUUCAGUGGAAUUAAGUCUCUGCCUAUUGCUUCUCCAUAACCAGUAUCAUGAUAAAGUAAGUAGUGAAAAAGAACUUAAAGAAUCUGCUCAUAGGGGAUGCUCUAAAUGCUCUAGUUGUAGAUGAGCAGUAGGAUUCCCUCUGAUGGGUUCUAAGUUAAGAAAUGAUACUUGAUUUUAUGAAAGCAAAGGUAACAGGUAAAUCUUCUUUGCGUCUCUAUGGGAAACCGAGAAUAAUUAUAGGCUUCUUUUCAUGUCAGUCUUAAAAUGACUCUGAUAUGAGAAGGCUUCUGUUUUAUCUUAGACCAAAUGUGACUUGAAACUCUUCUAUUAAAGUGCAUAAGGAAAAAAAAUGCGAGUUUUAUGCUUCUUUAUUAUAUAAAACAGUCACCUUAUGAGGAUGAGAGAGCAUAGGAGUGUGGCCACUGGGGUCGACAAGCCCCAUCGUUGGUGAUAACAUCAGACUCCUAACAAUGAGGCCAUCAGGAAUGUAAAGAGUUUAGAGGGAACAAAGGGUGAUUCAGGAGUCUCGGACUGCUUGUUCUCCAGCCCAUAAGAGUGAAGUUGCUGUGUGUUUGCUGUUGCCGGGCAAAGUUGUAGACCAACAAAUAGUUAGUGGAAAAGUACUGCUAUAGGGAGAAUGGUAUAAGAAGAUAUAGUAGAAGUUGAAGUUAUGUCAUCAAUAAAAUGGUAGCAGUUACUGAUCUUAAAAGAACCUUGGAGACCAUGGGGUCAUUACACCACAAGAGGUUGUUAUAAAUGAAGUCUCAACUCAAUCUGAAUUUUGUAAUAUUUAUACUUAUUGAUUGAGGUAUUGGGGAGGCAAGGACAAUCCCCAGACAAGGACUGUAUAUCUCAAAACAAGACACUGGAACUCAUGAUAAGGAAGCAGCAGACGGACAGAGAAAUAAAAUGUAAGGACUAUAAAUCUUGAAACUGGACAUUGGAAUUCAUUAUAAAGAUACAACAAAUGGAAGAAUUAGCAACAACAAGCUCUUGCACUUAAGAAACAUGCCAACUCAGCAGAUUCCUGGCCAAAGGUGAAAAGUACACUAUGAGGAAGACUUGGGGUCUUCCUUCUAAAGACCCCUGCCCACAAUUCUUGGAAGGCUCUACGCAGGAGCAAGGUGCCAAAAGGCUAAUUAGCAUGAGAAGCGAGGGAAGGCAGGGAUAGGUAAUGAAUAUGUAUAGGAUCUAGUAGAAUAUUGAUUGAUUGUAUAAAUUCAAGACUGCUUUUCGCUUUGGGUAUGCAUGAUAGGUGGAGAGAUCCCCCGUGCAUCCAGCGCUGCAAUAAAGAAUAUACCCCUUAAAGGAAUUUUGGCUUUGAUCUUUGAAUCAUUAUAAAAGGCAAGUAAACAAUGCUGGGUGUGCGGGAAGUCUAUGCUCCACCAACACACACACACGAACAUCAAACAUUCUAAAUAUACAGAACGUUGCUCUACAUACUAAACCCGAGUAUGCCUAUACAUAUGUACAAUCAGAAAAGGUAACAAACAAUCCUUUAAGUUCCAUGACUUAACAGUCUCCAUU